rnacentral:rRNA from 1 species
GAUGAACGCUGGCGGCGUGCCUAAUACAUGCAAGUCGAGCGAACAGACGAGGAGCUUGCUCCUCUGACGUUAGCGGCGGACGGGUGAGUAACACGUGGAUAACCUACCUAUAAGACUGGGAUAACUUCGGGAAACCGGAGCUAAUACCGGAUAAUAUAUUGAACCGCAUGGUUCAAUAGUGAAAGACGGUUUUGCUGUCACUUAUAGAUGGAUCCGCGCGGCAUUAGCUAGUUGGUAAGGUAACGGCUUACCAAGGCAACGAUGCGUAGCCGACGUGAGAGGGUGGUAGGCCACACUGGAACUGAGACACGGUCCAGACUCCUACGGGAGGCAGCAGUAGGGAAUCUUCCGCAAUGGGCGAAAGCCUGACGGAGCAACGCCGCGUGAGUGAUGAAGGUCUUCGGAUCGUAAAACUCUGUUAUUAGGGAAGAACAAAUGUGUAAGUAACUAUGCACGUCUUGACGGUACCUAAUCAGAAAGCCACGGCUAACUACGUG